rnacentral:rRNA from 1 species
CCGUGAGGGAAAGUUGAAAAGAACUUUGAAGAGAGAGUUCAAAAGGGCGUGAAACCGCUUAGAAUAAAACGGACGGAACCGUCUGAGGCCCAUCGGAAUCAGUCGAAUCGACGCGUGAAUGCGUGUGCGACAUUGAAAAGGAACGAAAGUCCUGUCGCCGCGUAAGAAUGAAGUAGCGCUCGUUCGAUGCAUUUCCGAAGGGUAAGCACUGCGACCGAUGCGAAGAAAAAGGCUAACGGAGCCGUCGGAUUGAGGGCGAGCUCGUUUACGCGAGUCUCGUAACCAGUCAGUCGGUAAGGAUAGAACCCGUUAGACCGUAGCAUCGAGCGCUAGAUAAAGAGUGCCGGCGAUAAAAAUAAGCGCUCGUCCGUUAGGAUGGACGUACGGCCGUUCGUCCGUUACCUGCUCGCAGGUCUCGGUUCGUAUAAGGUCGUAUCCGAAGUCCUCGGCGACGUUUAGGCACUCAGGCGUCAGCAGUGUCCGAGUCGGUCACCCGUCCGACCCGUCUUGAAACACGGACCAAGGAGUCUAACGUAAGCGCAAGCUAAUGGGUGGAAAACCCAUAAGCGAAAUAAAAGUAAAGGUCGUCUCAGACGUCCGAGGUACGAUCCCGCGGGCGAAUAUAUCCCCGGGCGCAGUACCGUCCCGUCCUGACCGCUCGUCGGUAGGGCGGAGAUAGAGUGCAUACGUUGGGACCCGAAAGAUGGUGAACUAUGCCUGAGCAGAGCGAAGCCAGAGGAAACUCUGGUGGAGGUUCGUAGCGGUUCUGACGUGCAAAUCGAUCGUCAGACUUGGGUAUAGGGGCGAAAGACUAAUCGAACCAUCUAGUAGCUGGUUCC